rnacentral:lncRNA from 1 species
UCGAUUUCAAAUAUUGUACACAUUCCCAUCUACAAUUCUCACUGAAAGAAUUAUGGACCAUUGGAUCAGAAAAGUUGCAUGAGAUGAGAAUGUGUUUACUAUGAGUAGAAGACGCCUGCGUCCAUACAAAUAUUCAUAUGUUGAUAGGAGUGAGACCUUUUUAUUCCAUUUAAUUUAUAUAUAUUUAAAGAUGCAAAUUGUCAGAUGGAAAUAAAAAGAAAGAAAACAGUAGAGCGUGUUUUCCGGUGCAGGACGAAUAAGCAAAAGCUGGAUAACUGCCACGUGUCCCAGAAAGUGACCGUGUGAUUGACAUGCAACGGCUGUGAUUGAGCCUCUGGUGUUGAGAUUUUAUUACCAACAACUGCAAGAGAAGUGUAAACAAGUGGGGAGUGAGUGUACGAGAGAGAGAGAGCGAGAGAGGGGAGAGAGAGAGAGGAGAGAGAGAUUACCAGAUUAUAGAGAUCUUCUCUCUGCUGCAACCAGCUGUGGAAGAUUAUAUGAGGAGAGGAGAAGAUUUUAUAAAUAUUUGGUACUAUAUGUGGAUUGUCUUAAAUUGAGGUUGCAGAGCAGUAUCCAUGGCGGCGUUUGCAGGGCAGUGACUUUAAUGCAUCAAAUAAAAACACAGAGAAUUUAAUUGUUUUGAAGAAAGUCAAGAAAAUAAAUUAAGUCUCGAGUUGAGAGCAAAAGCCAGAGCCAAACCAAAAACAUUGUCCACUCCACAUCUUCAUUCCUUCUCUUCUUGCUUAGCUUUGCCCUACUCCACCCAAAAAAUAACCCUCGAAUCCGUCCCUGAAA